AACCACGAGGCUACCUGCCGCCCCCAAUCAGCUCAUCAAGCUCAUAGGGGAGUUUUGUCCCUGUAGGACAGUGCGCUGUCGUGCCUGUCUUUCUGUGUUCCAGACGUGAGGCUCAGAUUGCGUAGAGCAUCUGUCCUGUCAGGCCACAUCAGACGGCUCCCUCUUAACGAGCCCUAACGAGCACCUGAGUGUAAUCGGCCCACUCAGAGUUCACUCUAAUGACAGGACUCACUCUCUCCUCCCUCCCUCCCGUUCUCUAUCCCUCUCUGCCCCUUUCUUUCUUCUACUCUCUCUCCUUCUCCCUCCCUCUCGCCCUCUCUCUUUUACAACCUGCACCUGCACUUGGACUCCUUGAAACACUGAUCUGGGUCCAGUUCGCCCUGCCAUCCCAGCAACAGAUAGUUUUGUUUUCCUGCAUUUCCAACACCUGGCCUGGGAAAGAGCUGUGGGGAGAUGAAACUUCUGCCAACAUUCCAACCAAUUCCAGCCCCAAUGCCUGGGCACAGCAGUGGAUUGUUCACAUUCCUUUAUUUAAAGGCGCAGUGUGCUAUUGUUUCUCACGACCAUAAACUUAAUUCAUGUGCAGGGAUAGGCUAAAUACAUGAAGGAGAACAUGAGAGCUAAGAUGUUUGCUCUUUAUUCUUCUUAUACACCAGUGUCAGAUCAGCAUGACAUUAUGAUAGCCUUCAACAGAAGAACUCCGAAUCAUGUGCUCUGUACAUGUGUGUCUAUGCCAUGGAUAAAGUUAUUGAAACCUG